rnacentral:rRNA from 1 species
CCCUUUCGGGGGUACUCGAGUGGCGAACGGGUGAGUAACACGUGGGUGAUCUGCCCUGCACUCUGGGAUAAGCCUGGGAAACUGGGUCUAAUACCGGAUAGGACCAUGGGAUGCAUGUUCUGUGGUGGAAAGCUUUUGCGGUGUGGGAUGGGCCCGCGGCCUAUCAGCUUGUUGGUGGGGUGAUGGCCUACCAAGGCGACGACGGGUAGCCGGCCUGAGAGGGUGUCCGGCCACACUGGGACUGAGAUACGGCCCAGACUCNUACGGGAGGCAGCAGUGGGGAAUAUUGCACAAUGGGCGCAAGCCUGAUGCAGCGACGCCGCGUGGGGGAUGACGGCCUUCGGGUUGUAAACCUCUUUCAGUAUCGGCGAAGCUCCGUGGUUUUCUGCGGGGUGACGGUAGGUACAGAAGAAGCACCGGCCAACUACGUGCCAGCAGCCGCGGUAAUACGUAGGGUGCGAGCGUUGUCCGGAAUUACUGGGCGUAAAGAGCUCGUAGGUGGUUUGUCGCGUUGUUCGUGAAAACUCACAGCUUAACUGUGGGCGUGCGGGCGAUACGGGCAGACUAGAGUACUGUAGGGGAGACUGGAAUUCCUGGUGUAGCGGUGGAAUGCGCAGAUAUCAGGAGGAACACCGGUGGCGAAGGCGGGUCUCUGGGCAGUAACUGACGCUGAGGAGCGAAAGCGUGGGGAGCGAACAGGAUUAGAUACCCUGGUAGUCCACGNCGUAAACGGUGGGUACUAGGUGUGGGUUUCCUUCCUUUAGGGAUCCGUGCCGUAGCUAACGCAUUAAGUANCCCGCCUGGGGAGUACGGCNGCAAGGCUUUUCGAUCCGUAGCAGGACAA